UACGUAGGGGGCAAGCGUUAUCCGGAUUUACUGGGUGUAAAGGGGGCGCAGACGGCGAUGCAAGCCAGGAGUGAAAGCCCGGGGCCCAACCCCGGGACUGCUCUUGGAACUGCGUGGCUGGAGUGCAGGAGGGGCAGGCGGAAUUCCUGGUGUAGCGGUGAAAUGCGUAGAUAUCAGGAGGAACACCGGUGGCGAAGGCGGCCUGCCGGACUGCAACUGACGUUGAGGCCCGAAAGCGUGGGGAGCAAACAGG
rnacentral:rRNA from 1 species